rnacentral:rRNA from 1 species
UGGGUUUAAGGGUGCGUAGGCGGCUUUUUAAGUCAGUGGUGAAAUCCUGCCGCUUAACGGUAGAAUUGCCAUUGAUACUGAAAGGCUUGAGUUCAGUUGAGGUAAGCGGAAUGUGUAGUGUAGCGGUGAAAUGCUUAGAUAUUACACAGAACACCAAUUGCGAAGGCAGCUUACUAAACUGACACUGACGCUGAUGCACGAAAGCGUGGGGAGCGAACAGGAUUAGAUACCCUGGUAGUCCACGCCGUAAACGAUGUUCACUCGCUGUUUGCGAUACACAGCAAGCGGCCAAGCGAAAGCAUUAAGUGAACCACCUGGGGAGUACGAUCGCAAGGUUGAAACUCAAAGGAAUUGACGGGGGCCCGCACAAGCGGAGGAACAUGUGGUUUAAUUCGAUGAUACGCGAGGAACCUUACCUGGGCUUAAAUGUAGAACGACAGAUUGUGAAAGCAGUCCUUCUUCGGACGUUUUACAAGGUGCUGCAUGGUUGUCGUCAGCUCGUGCCGUGAGGUGUCGGGUUAAGUCCCAUAACGAGCGCAACCCUUAUCGUUAGUUGCCAGCGGGUCAAGCCGGGGACUCUAGCGAGACUGCCACCGUAAGGUGUGAGGAAGGUGGGGAUGACGUCAAAUCAGCACGGCCCUUAUGUCCAGGGCUACACACGUGUUACAAUGGCCGGUACAAAGGGCAGCUACUUCGCGAGAAGAUGCUAAUCUCGAAAGCCGGUCUCAGUUCGGAUCGAAGUCUGCAACCCGACUUCGUGAAGCUGGAUUCGCUAGUGAUCGCAUAUCAGCCAUGAUGCGGUGAAUACGUUCCCGGGCCUUGUACACACCGCCCGUCAAACAAUGGAAGCUGGGGGUACCUGAAGUCU